GAGGAAAUAGCUCAGUGGUAGAGUGCCUGCCUAGCAUACACAAGGUCCUGGGUUCAAUCCCCAGUACCUCCA
rnacentral:tRNA from 1 species